GUUGGAGAGGCUUCGGAUCCUCAUUCAAAAUAGGAAUGCCACCGUUGGGUCCCCAGAAGAGGGUAAGAGCUGUGGACCAGAAAGGGGCCCUGCGGUGUCUUCAAGUUCCUUACCCAAGUGUGGGCAGAGCACAAGCUUUUGCAGGACACAGACCAUCAUCCAGGAAUCCAAAGGUCAGAGCAAAACACCUUCAAAACUCUGGGGCUUCAGUUUCUGCAGAGCAAACAAGGAAGUUUCCAUCGGAGAUGGGGAGAAGGUACGGGCCCUCUGGGACUGCUGCAAGAACUGUAAAAUUAGCCCCCACAGCUCUAAACCUCCAGAGGGAAAGCCCCCACUCCCGCCGCCGCUGCCACCACCACCCCAGCUGGGUUCCAGACCUAACAGGCUCGAGGCCCAUAGUUGGAUGACUCAUCACUCCGCCACACUGAGCAACAUCACCGCGGAUAGCAGUGCGUUAUCUGACACUGCAGCUUCAACAGUAGACACCCUGGACUCUGCGACUACCUCAAUCCCAUCAAUACAUUCAGGGCAGGACAGCCUAUUGGAUGUGGAAAUCAUCAUGAACAGCAUGCAAUGUGCUCACAGAGGAGAAAAGGUAUACGGGGACCCCCUUCUGACUGCUCUUUGGAAUGCAAGCCUGUCUUUGAAGAAUCCUCAGACCAGGCCAGUCGCCAUGACUGUUGCCUUAUGGAACUGCACAGCAGCCACUAAUUCUUUGUUUAUUUAGGUAUUUGAGAUACUGGCUUGUGUGUGUGUGUGUGUGUGUGUGUGUAUUUCAAAUUCCUAAAUAAACAAUUACUUUGCUUUAUUGGUUGAUUGCUUAAAACUAUAGGUCAUCGCAAUAUAUCAAUGACAGCAUCAAACAUUUGUGGCACUGUCAUAUCACAAUUACACUUAAAAAGAAAGAUAAAGUACCAGUAAUCAUAAAUGCACUUCCAGAUGGCCUUCAACAACAGCGAGGAGAACAUUAGCUUUCUUCGUGCUAUUUCAGCAAGUUGCUUGGAGGCCCGGAAGAGUGGCAAAGACACCUUGGACCUUCCCUACACGAAGGCUGAGCUGGCAGAGGCACUCGUGGCUCUGUACAAAUCAUCCUCAGACACAAUGGAAACUAUGCUGAAGGGGCUGCUGUAUGAAGUUCCAACCACAAGCCAUCUCCUGUUUAUAUUAAAGCACAUCAACUUCUGGAUUCAUUCACCAGAUGUACAAGAGAGAGCCCGGGCCAUGAGAUGCAGCACUGUGUUGCUUCAAUAUGCUAUUCAGCUGCCUGAUUUCCAAAAGACAGGUGAACUCCCUGCCUUGGGAUAUCAGGUGGCUCAGUAUGGAAUCUGCAUCACAGAUCCAUUAGAAGAUGUGAACCAUCAGGCCCGGGAAGCCAUCAAGUGCCUUUAUCAGCUGCUGCUUCAUCACAUGGGGCUGAGUCCCAAAGAGGGAGGAGAGCUGUGGUGCCGGCAAUCAGAAGAGACGAAGCUGCAAGCGUAUAUGGAUACCUGCAGGGUGGGUGAGCUGUUCAGGAAGAUCUUCACAGAAGAUCAGAAGAGAACCUUUCUGCAGACAUCUUUGCUCUCCAUGUAUGAUCCAUUAAGGAGACGGAGUGAGGCUGGGGUCCUCCUAGGAUAUUCUCUCCUGGGGAAGGCAGACAGAUUAAUGGGGGAUAAGGCAGAAGACAUGGAAAGAAAUAUAUACGAGCAGCUCUUCAAGCUUCGGACACUCCGGCAGGUGCCAGAAGCACUGCAAAGCAUUAUUCCAAGUAAAGUCGAUAAUGAUGCUUGAUGGUUAAGAACAGCUCAAACACCUGCAACAAUGCUGCUUCAGGCAGGAAGAUCAAGAGAGCAGAAGGCUAGGCUUAGCAGUAUGUUUCCAUCUGGUCUCCGGUUCCUCUUAGGCAAUGCGUCUCUAGAAAGCCCCAAAGGUCCACCAAUAUCACUAAAGAAGCCAGAAAGCAGUUUCUGCCCACAGCUUCUUCUGUGCUGCAUGUCAGCUGAUGCAUCACAUAGACAUCAGUGGCUCCAAUUGCCAAUAGAAGGAAGAAACCAGCUGGGGACGCAGUAUUCCAUUGGGACAAUCAUUCAGAGGGCAGAACCAGAACAUAAAUGUCUUUUUAAAUACCUAUAAUUAAAUGAGAAUAGUGAUUUCCCCAUCUUCUGGUUAAACUGCACUUCUUUCUGUGGAUCGUUUUUCAUGGAUGCUAGCUUGCACUUUGAUGUUUUCUGUGGCCUGACCUGUAUCACUCUCUAAAGCAGCACUCCUGUAAACCAGUGUAAAUGAAGUAAUAUCACUCGCAAUGAGAAGAAGACUGUGUUUGGAUAUAAACACAAAAGAAUGGAUACAUGGAAACAGAAAGGUGGCAAAGAUGAAAUAAAUAAAAGGUAGCAAGUACA
ensembl:lncRNA maestro heat-like repeat-containing protein family member 7